rnacentral:rRNA from 1 species
GGGGGAAAAUUAAUAAUUAUAAAAAUAAUAAAAAAAAUUUUAAUAUUAAAAUAAUUUAAUGGGGGUUAAAGUAUUUUAAUAGAAAAAAUUUAAAAUUUUAUAGUUAAUUAAGUAUUGUAAGAGAAUUUUGAAAUAUUUUGAAAUGUAAUUUAUUAAAAAGUAAGUUUUAAUUAUUGUAUCUUGGGUAUCAGAGUUUAUUAAAAAUUUUUUAUGGGGUUUAAAUUUCUCGAAUUUGAAAGAGAUAAUUAAUUAAAAAAGUUAUUGUGGAAUAAAUAUUUUAAAUAAUUAAUUUGAAAUGAAAGGUUAAUCGUUUUUAAAGAUAUCUAGUUUUUUUAGAAUAAAAUUUAAUUUUUAAUUUAUAAAAAAAAAGAAUUAAUUAAAUUAAUUCUUUUUUUCUUAUAAAUUUAAUAUUUUAAGGGAUAAGCUUUAAAUUAAAUUUUUAUAAUGGAUAUAUUUAAUUUUAAAGUUUUUAUAAUUUGUAUUGUUAAUUAAUUGUAUUUUUUUAUAAAUAAUUUUAUUAAAAUAAAAAUUUAAUUUAAAAUUUAAUUUUUUAUAAAAAAUAAUUUUAUAAUAAUUAAAAUUUUGAUAUUAUGAUAAAAUUAGUAUAUAAAUUUAAAAUUAAUGGUUAUUUAAUUUUAAUUUAAGUUAUUUAAAAGGAAUUCGGCAAAAUUUAAUAUUCACUUGUUUAUCAAAAACAUGUCUUUUUGAGUAUAAUUUAAAGUCUAAUCUGCCCACUGAUAGUUUAUUGAAGGGCUGCAGUAUUUUGACUGUACAAAGGUAGCAUAAUCAUUAGUCUCUUAAUUGGUGACUUGUAUGAAAGAUUGGAUGAAAUAUAAACUGUCUCUUAAAUAUAAUAUUGAAUUUAAUUUUUUAAUUAAAAAGUUAAAAUAAUUUAAAAAGACGAGAAGACCCUAUAGAGUUUUAUAAUUUUUAUAAAUUAGUAUUAUUUAUAUAAAUUUUAAUUAAAAUUUAAAAUAAAUUAUUUUAUUGGGGUGAUGAAAAAAUUUAUUGAACUUUUUUUAAAAAAUUUCAUUAAUAAGUGAUUAAAUGAUCCAAUUUUAUUGAUUAUAAGAUUAAAUUACCUUAGGGAUAACAGCGUAAUUUUUUUUUUUAGUUCAUAUAAGAAAAAAAGUUUGCGACCUCGAUGUUGGAUUAAGAUAAAAUUUAUAUGCAGAAGUAUAAAAUUUUUGAUCUGUUCGAUCAUUAAAAUCUUACAUGAUCUGAGUUCAAACCGGUGUGAGCCAGGUUGGUUUCUAUCUUUUAAAAAAAAAAACAUUUUAGUACGAAAGGAUUGAUUGUUUUAAUUAAAUUAUUUAUAUUUGAAUUUUAUUAAAAUUUUUAAAAAUUAUUUAUUAUUUUAAUAUGAAAUUU